GAACCGUGAUGAACACAUUUAUCCCGAAUCUGACUCUUGAUGAGACGAACGUACGGAUCUGACUGCUGAGUU